CGUGAGUGAAGAAGGGUUUCGGCUCGUAAAGCUCUGUUGGUAGUGAAGAAAGAUAGAGGCAGUAACUGGCCUUUAUUUGACGGUAAUUACUUAGAAAGUCACGGCUAACUACGUGCCAGCAGCCGCGGUAAUACGUAGGUGGCAAGCGUUGUCCGGAUUUAUUGGGCGUAAGGCGAGUGCAGGCGGUUCAAUAAGUCUGAUGUGAAAGCCUUCGGCUCAACCGGAGAAUUGCAUCAGAAACUGUUGAACUUGAGUGCAGAAGAGGAGAGUGGAACUCCAUGUGUAGCGGUGGAAUGCGUAGAUAUAUGGAAGAACACCAGUGGCGAAGGCGGCUCUCUGGUCUGCAACUGACGCUGAGGCUCGAAAGCAUGGGUAGCGAACAGGAUUAGAUACCCUGGUAGUCCAUGCCGUAAACGAUGAGUGCUAAGUGUUGGGAGGUUUCCGCCUCUCAGUGCUGCAGCUAACGCAUUAAGCACUCCGCCUGGGGAGUACGACCGCAAGGUUGAAACUCAAAGGAAUUGACGGGGGCCCGCACAAGCGGUGGAGCAUGUGGUUUAAUUC
rnacentral:rRNA from 1 species